GGAGGGUGCAAGCGUUAAUCGGAAUUACUGGGCGUAAAGCGCACGCAGGCGGUUUGUUAAGUCAGAUGUGAAGUCCCCGGGCUCAACCUGGGAACUGCAUCUGAUACUGGCAAGCUUGAGUCUCGUAGAGGGGGGUAGAAUUCCAGGUGUAGCGGUGAAAUGCGUAGAGAUCUGGAGGAAUACCGGUGGCGAAGGCGGCCCCCUGGACGAAGACUGACGCUCAGGUGCGAAAGCGUGGGGAGCAAACAGGAUUAGAUACCCUGGUAGUCCACGCCGUAAACGAUGUCGACUUGGAGGUUGUGCCCCUUGAGGCGUGGCUUCCGGAGCUAACGCGCUAAGUCGACCGCCUGGGGAUACGGCCGCAAGGUUA
rnacentral:rRNA from 1 species